UCUUAUAGAUGAGCAAAGAAAUUAGUUUCUUAAGAUGGAAACUAUUCCUGGUGAAGAUGCUGUGAA
rnacentral:pre_miRNA from 3 species